rnacentral:snRNA from 1 species
AUCGCUUCUCGGCCUUUUGGCUAAGAUCAAGUGUAGUAUCUGUUCUUAUCAGUUUAAUAUCAGAUGCGUCCCCUACACCGGGGGGGGGGACUUUACAGUGUUUUGUCAUGGCGUCCGGACAAGCUUU